AACGAACGCUGGCGGCAUGCCUAACACAUGCAAGUCGAACGAGAACUUCGGGUCUUGUGGCGCUCGGGUGCGUACCGCGUGGGAACCUGCCCUUAGGUUCGGAAUAACUCCCCGAGAGGGGUGUUCAUACCGGUUAAUCUCUUCCGACCAAAGAUUUCUUGCUUCUGGAUGGGCCCGCGUAGGUUUCGGCGGUUGGUAGGGUAAAAGCCUACCAAGGCGAUGAUCCAGAGCUGGUCGGAGAGGAGGAUCAGCAACACUGGGACUGAGACACGGCCCAGACUCGUGCGAGAGGCAGCAGAGGGGACUAUAGGACAGUGGGCGAAAGCCUGAUCCAGCGAGGCCGCGAGAGUGAUGAAGGCCUUAGGGUUGUAAAGCUCUUUUACCCGGGAUGAUAAUGACAGUACCGGGAGAAUAAGCUCCGGCUAACUCCGU
rnacentral:rRNA from 1 species